rnacentral:rRNA from 1 species
GAUGAACGCUGACAGAAUGCUUAACACAUGCAAGUCUUUGGCGAAGCUGUGCUUGCACAGCCUAGCCAAGGCGGACGGGUGAGUAACGCGUAAGGAACUUGCCCUGCAGUCAGGGAUAACAGACGGAAACGACUGAUAAGACCUGGUAAAGUCAGGCGGACUCAUGUCCAGCCUGAUGAAAAGAGAUGCUGCAGGAGAGCCUUGCGUCCUAUUAGCUUGUUGGUGGGGUAACGGCCCACCAAGGCGAUGAUAGGUAGCCGGCCUGAGAGGGUGGACGGCCACAAGGGGACUGAGAUACGGCCCUUACUCCUACGGGAGGCAGCAGUGGGGAAUAUUGGACAAUGGGGGCAACCCUGAUCCAGCAAUUCUGUGUGCACGAUGAAGGUUUUCGGAUUGUAAAGUGCUUUCAGCAGGGAGGAAAAAAAUGACGGUACCUGCAGAAGAAGCGACGGCUAAAUACGUG